rnacentral:rRNA from 1 species
AACGAACGCUGGCGGCAGGCUUAACACAUGCAAGUCGAGCGCCCCGCAAGGGGCGCGGCAGACGGGUGAGUAACGCGUGGGAACGUACCCUUUGGUUCGGUACAACUCCGGGAAACUGGAGCUAAUACCGGACAAGCCCUAACGGGGAAAGAUUUAUCGCCGAACGAUCGGCCCGCGUCUGAUUAGCUGGUUGGUGAGGUAACGGCUCACCAAGGCGACGAUCAGUAGCUGGUCUGGGAGGAUGAUCAGCCACGCUGGGACUGAGACACGGCCCAGACUCCUACGGGAGGCAGCAGUGUGGAAUAUUGGACGAUGGGCGCAAGCCUGAUCCAGCCAUGCCGCGUGAGUGAUGAAGGCCUUAGGGUUGUAAAGCUCUUUUUGCCGGGAAGAUAAUGACGGUACCGGAAGAAUAAGCCCCGGCUAACUUCGUG